GUAAAUUGAACAGUCGCGCGUUUAUUUUGAAAAGAAUUUUCGCGAGGAAAGUCCGGGCUCCACAGAGCGAUAACAACGGCUAACGGCCGCCGAGGGUGACCUUAGGGAUAGUGCAACAGAAAAUAACCGCCGUUUUUCGGUAAGGAUGGAAAGGUGAGGUAAGAGCUCACCGCUGGUAUGGAGACAUACCUGGCGUGUAAACCCUGUUUGGAGCAACACCGUGGAGGGACAUUUGCCUGCUCGGCAGUCCCGUGGAGGUGGCGUUGAGCAAGUCGGCAACGGCUUGCCAAGAUAGAUGACUGUUCACGACAGAACCCGGCUUACAGAUUUAGUC
rnacentral:RNase_P_RNA from 1 species